CGAAUGCUGACAUAAGUAACGAUAAAGCGGGUGAAAAGCCCGCUCGCCGGAAGACCAAGGGUUCCUGUCCAACGUUAAUCGGGGCAGGGUGAGUCGACCCCUAAGGCGAGGCCGAAAGGCGUAGUCGAUGGGAAACAGGUUAAUAUUCCUGUACUUGGUGUUACUGCGAAGGGGGGACGGAGAAGGCUAUGUUGGCCGGGCGACGGUUGUCCCGGUUUAAGCGUGUAGGCUGGUUUUCCAGGCAAAUCCGGAAAAUCAAGGCUGAGGCGUGAUGACGAGGCACUACGGUGCUGAAGCAACAAAUGCCCUGCUUCCAGGAAAAGCCUCUAAGCAUCAGGUAACAUCAAAUCGUACCCCAAACCGACACAGGUGGUCAGGUAGAGAAUACCAAGGCGCUUGAGAGAACUCGGGUGAAGGAACUAGGCAAAAUGGUGCCGUAACUUCGGGAGAAGGCACGCUGAUAUGUAGGUGAAGUCCCUCGCGGAUGGAGCUGAAAUCAGUCGAAGAUACCAGCUGGCUGCAACUGUUUAUUAAAAACACAGCACUGUGCAAACACGAAAGUGGACGUAUACGGUGUGACGCCUGCCCGGUGCCGGAAGGUUAAUUGAUGGGGUCAGCGCAAGCGAAGCUCUUGAUCGAAGCCCCGGUAAACGGCGGCCGUAACUAUAACGGUCCUAAGGUAGCGAAAUUCCUUGUCGGGUAAGUUCCGACCUGCACGAAUGGCGUAAUGAUGGCCAGGCUGUCUCCACCCGAGACUCAGUGAAAUUGAACUCGCUGUGAAGAUGCAGUGUACCCGCGGCAAGACGGAAAGACCCCGUGAACCUUUACUAUAGCUUGACACUGAACAUUGAGCCUUGAUGUGUAGGAUAGGUGGGAGGCUUUGAAGUGUGGACGCCAGUCUGCAUGGAGCCGACCUUGAAAUACCACCCUUUAAUGUUUGAUGUUCUAACGUGGACCCGUGAUCCGGGUUGCGGACAGUGUCUGGUGGGUAGUUUGACUGGGGCGGUCUCCUCCUAAAGAGUAACGGAGGAGCACGAAGGUUGGCUAAUCCUGGUCGGACAUCAGGAGGUUAGUGCAAUGGCAUAAGCCAGCUUGACUGCGAGCGUGACGGCGCGAGCAGGUGCGAAAGCAGGUCAUAGUGAUCCGGUGGUUCUGAAUGGAAGGGCCAUCGCUCAACGGAUAAAAGGUACUCCGGGGAUAACAGGCUGAUACCGCCCAAGAGUUCAUAUCGACGGCGGUGUUUGGCACCUCGAUGUCGGCUCAUCACAUCCUGGGGCUGAAGUAGGUCCCAAGGGUAUGGCUGUUCGCCAUUUAAAGUGGUACGCGAGCUGGGUUUAGAACGUCGUGAGACAGUUCGGUCCCUAUCUGCCGUGGGCGCUGGAGAACUGAGGGGGGCUGCUCCUAGUACGAGAGGACCGGAGUGGACGCAUCACUGGUGUUCGGGUUGUCAUGCCAAUGGCACUGCCCGGUAGCUAAAUGCGGAAGAGAUAAGUGCUGAAAGCAUCUAAGCACGAAACUUGCCCCGAGAUGAGUUCUCCCUGACCCUUUAAGGGUCCUGAAGGA
rnacentral:rRNA from 1 species